GACGAACGCUGGCGGCGUGCUUAACACAUGCAAGUCGAACGGUAAGGCCCUUCGGGGUACACGAGUGGCGAACGGGUGAGUAACACGUGGGUGAUCUGCCCUGCACUUCGGGAUAAGCCUGGGAAACUGGGUCUAACACCGCAUACGCUCCUCUGGUCGCCUGGCCGGAGGAGGAAAGUUUUUCGCUCAAGGAGGGUCUCGCGGCCUAUCAGCUUGUUGGCGGGGUAACGGCCCACCAAGGCUACGACGGGUAGCUGGUUUGAGAGAACGAUCAGCCACACUGGGACUGAGACACGGCCCAGACUCCUACGGGAGGCAGCAGUGGGGAAUCUUGCGCAAUGGGCGAAAGCCUGACGCAGCAACGCCGCGUGCGGGAUGACGGCCUUCGUGGUUGUAAACCGCUUUCAGCAGGGACGAAAAUGACGGUACCUGCAGAAGAAGCUCCGGCUAACUACGUGCCAGCCGCCGCCGUAA
rnacentral:rRNA from 1 species